CACGUAGGGCGCAAGCGUUGUCCGGAAUUAUUGGGCGUAAAGAGCUCGUAGGCGGACUGUCACGUUCGCUGUGAAAAGCUAGGGCUUAACCCUGGCCUUGCAGUGGAUACGGGCAGACUAGAGGUAGGUAGGGGAGAAUGGAAUUCCCGGUGUAGCGGUGAAAUGCGCAGAUAUCGGGAGGAACACCGGUGGCGAAGGCGGUUCUCUGGGCCUUACCUGACGCUGAGGAGCGAAAGCGUGGGGAGCGAACAGG
rnacentral:rRNA from 1 species